CCCUUAGAUGUUCUGGGCCGCACACGCGCUACACUGGCAGGUUCAUCGAGCCUCAUGCCCUGAUCUGAGAAGAACGGGAAAUCUUUGAACACCUGCCGUGCUUGGGAUAGAUGUUUGCAAUUAUUCAUCUUCAACGAGGAUUGCCUUGUAAGCGCACGUCAUCAGCGUGCAUUGAAUACGACCCUGUAUUCUGUACACACCGCCCGUCGCUCCUACCGAUUGAAGUUUUCGGUGAAUUUACUGGAGAUCCCUUUUGAAGGUGGUUCGCCACUGGAAGAAGUAUUCAAAAGUAAAUGAAUCGAAUGCUUUAGAGGAAGGAGAAGUCGUAACA
rnacentral:rRNA from 1 species